GGUUCAUUAGCUCAGAUGGUAGAGCACGUGACUUUUAAUCACGGUGUCCGGGGUUCGACUCCCCGAUGAGCCACCA
rnacentral:tRNA from 1 species